AGUGCAUGUGGCGGAUGCCUUGGCGAUCACAGGCGAAGAAAGACGCGGCAGCCUGCGAAAAGCUGCGGGGAGCUGGCAAACGAGCUUUGAUCCGCAGAUAUCUGAAUGGGGGAACCCACACCGCAAGGUGUAUCCGUGACUGAAUACAUAGGUUACGGAGGCGAACGAGGAGAACUGAAACAUCUAAGUAUCCUCAGGAAAAGAAAUCAACCGAGAUUCCGGCAGUAGCGGCGAGCGAACCCGGAGGAGCCUAGCUUUUGAUAGUACGAACUUUAGCCGAAAGGUCCUGGAAAGGCCUGCUAUAGUGGGUGAUAGCCCCGUAGGCGAAAGAGUUCGUACGGUACUAAGGAAGCGAGAAGUAGAGCGGGACACGUGGAAUCCUGUUCGAAGAUGGGGGGACCAUCCUCCAAGGCUAAAUACUCGUGAUCGACCGAUAGUGAACCAGUACCGUGAGGGAAAGGCGAAAAGAACCCCGGGAGGGGAGUGAAAUAGAACCUGAAACCGCAUGCAUACAAACAGUAGGAGCCUCACCAGAGGUGACUGCGUACCUUUUGCAUAAUGGGUCAGCGACUUACAUUCUGUGGCGAGCUUAACCGAAUAGGGGAGGCGCAGCGAAAGCGAGUUCGAAAUGAGCGUCCAGUCGCAGGGUGUAGACCCGAAACCAGAUGAGCUAUCCAUGGCCAGGUUGAAGGUGUGGUAACACACACUGGAGGACCGAACCGACUAGUGUUGCAAAAUUAGCGGAUGAGCUGUGGAUAGGGGUGAAAGGCCAAACAAAUCUGGAGAUAGCUGGUUCUCCCCGAAAACUAUUGAGGUAGUGCCUCGUGUGUCGCUCCAGGGGGUAGAGCACUGUUUUGGCUAGGGGGACAUGGAGUCUUACCAAACCAAGGCAAACUCCGAAUACCUGGAAGCGUAAGCACGGGAGACAGAGCACCGGGUGCUAACGUCCGGACUCAAAAGGGAAACAACCCAGACCGCCGGCUAAGGUCCCCAAUAACAGCUAAGUGGAAAACGAAGUGGAAAGGCCGUGACAACCAGGAAGUUGGCUUAGAAGCAGCCAUCCUUCAAAGAAAGCGUAAUAGCUCACUGGUCGAGUCCUUCUGCGCGGAAGAUGUAACGGGGCUAAGCUGUUAACCGAAGCCGCGGAUGCACUGAUUAUUCAGUGCGUGGUAGGGGAGCGUUCUGUAAGUCUGCGAAGGCGGUUCGAGAGGACUGCUGGAGAUAUCAGAAGUGCGAAUGCUGACAUGAGUAACGUUAAAGCAGGUGAAAAGCCUGCUCGCCGUAAGCCCAAGGAUUCCUGCUCUACGUUCAUCGGAGCAGGGUGAGUCGGCUCCUAAGGUCAGGCCGAAAGGCGUAGCCGAUGGGAAUCAGGUUAAUAUUCCUGAACCUGCGUCAGAUGCGAUGGGGGGACGGAGCAUGAAAGAUCAUCCGGGUGUUGGAUGUCCCGGUUGACGAGCGUAGGAGGUCUGCAGGCAAAUCCGCAGACGCAUCUCCAAGGCGAAGUCACGUGCCGCCACGGCGGCGAAGUGAUCGGAAGUGCUUCCAAGAAAAGCCUCUAAGCACCAGUCUGGCGCGGACCGUACCGCAAACCGACACUGGUGGGCGAGCUGAAUAUGCUCAGGCGCUUGAGAGAACUCGGGAGAAGGAACUCGGCAAAUUGACACCGUAACUUCGGAAGAAGGUGUGCCGUAGUAGCGUGAGAGGAGAGACACCUUGAGCGUGAAUCGGUCUCAGAGAAUAGGUGGCUGCGACUGUUUAUUAAAAACACAGCACUCUGCAAAGUCGAAAGACGACGUAUAGGGUGUGAUGCCUGCCCGGUGCUGGAAGAUUAAUUGAUGGGGUGAGAGCCCUUGAUCGAAGUCCCAGUAAACGGCGGCCGUAACUAUAACGGUCCUAAGGUAGCGAAAUUCCUUGUCGGGUAAGUUCCGACCUGCACGAAUGGCGUAACGACUUCCCCACUGUCUCGACCAGGAGCUCGGCGAAAUUGCAGUACGAGUAAAGAUGCUCGUUAAGCGCAGAAGGACGAAAAGACCCCGGGACCUUUACUAUACCUUGGUAUUGGCAUUCGGUGUGGAUUGUGUAGCAUAGGCGGGAGGCCGAGAGGCGCGGUCGCCAGAUCGCGCGGAGCCGUAAGGUGAAAUACCGCUCUGUUCGCAUUGGAUGUCUAACCUCGAACAGUCAUCCUGUUCAGGGACAGUGCCUGGCGGGUAGUUUAACUGGGGCGGUUGCCUCCCAAAGAGUAACGGAGGCGCCCAAAGGUCCGCUCAGCCCGGUUGGCAAUCGGGUGGCGAGUGCAAGUGCACAAGCGGGCUUGACUGCGAGGACGACGGUCCGAGCAGGGACGAAAGUCGGGACUAGUGAUCCGGUGCCGGUGUACGGACGCGGCAUCGCUCAACGGAUAAAAGGUACCCCGGGGAUAACAGGCUGAUCAUUCCCAAGAGUCCAUAUCGACGGGAUGGUUUGGCACCUCGAUGUCGGCUCGUCGCAUCCUGGGGCUGGAGCAGGUCCCAAGGGUUCGGCUGUUCGCCGAUUAAAGCGGCACGCGAGCUGGGUUCAGAACGUCGUGAGACAGUUUGGUCUCUAUCCUCUGCGCUCGUUGGAAUGCUGAGGAGGCCUGCCCAUAGUACGAGAGGACCUGGGUGGACGAACCUCUGGUAUGCCGGUUGUCACGCCAGUGGCACGGCCGGUUGGCUACGUUCGGAAGGGAUAACCGCUGAAAGCAUCUAAGCGGGAAGCCUGCUCCAAGAUAAGCAUUCCGUGGAACCUUCGAGUUCCUGUAGUCCCCAUGCAGAACACGUGGUCGAUAGGCCGGACGUGGAAGCCCCGCGAGGGGUGGAGCCGACCGGUACUAACGGACGAAAGGCAACACUA
rnacentral:rRNA from 1 species